rnacentral:rRNA from 1 species
GACGAACGCUGGCGGCGUGCCUAAUACAUGCAAGUAGAACGCUGAAGGAGGAGCUUGCUCUUCUGGAUGAGUUGCGAACGGGUGAGUAACGCGUAGGUAACCUGCCUGGUAGCGGGGGAUAACUAUUGGAAACGAUAGCUAAUACCGCAUAAGAGUAGAUGUUGCAUGACAUUUACUUAAAAGGUGCAAUUGCAUCACUACCAGAUGGACCUGCGUUGUAUUAGCUAGUUGGUGGGGUAACGGCUUACCAAGGCGACGAUACAUAGCCGACCUGAGAGGGGGAUCGGCCACACUGGGACUGAGACACGGCCCAGACUCCUACGGGAGGCAGCAGUAGGGAAUCUUCGGCAAUAGACGGAAGUCUGACCGAGCAACGCCGCGUGAGUGAAGAAGGUUUUCGGAUCGUAAAGCUCUGUUGUAAGAGAAGAACGAGUGUGAGAGUGGAAAGUUCACACUGUGACGGUAUCUUACCAGAAAGGGACGGCUAACUACGUG